rnacentral:lncRNA from 1 species
CCCAUUCUACGUUCGCUGGCACUAUGUAAGGGAAAGACCAGGACCCAUUCUACGUUCUGGCACAGUUGGACACUGUUAUGUUAUGAUAUGUAAGGGAAAGACCAGGACCCAUUCUACGUUCUGGCACAGUUGGACUAUGUAGAGGGCUAUUGGUGACAAGUUCAUCCUUGACGUGAUUAGCUGUGAUGUGAUGCAUUCCAUGAUCCAUAUGAUUUAAAUGUUUUUAUUAUUCUGCUCACU